UUUUCCUUCUCCUUUUAUCCUUUUCAUGUGCUUGUUGUUGGAAGUGUAGGAUUUUUUUUUUUAGUUGAUGAUUUGAGGAAAUAAGGUUUAAGGUUAGGAUAGUGAGAGAGGUCGAGAGACUGUUUGGGAAAAGAGAAGGUUGAAGAUGAAUGAUGGAGAGCGUCGAGAGAUUGAGAGAAGAGAUUGAGGGCGAGUACAGUGAGGGAGUAACGAAGGAGGGUCUGUUGCUCCCAUUUCUUUUCUCCUUUUGUUUUUUUUUACAAAAAACAAACAGACAUUUAAGCCACAUAGAAAACCAUUAAAAAAAUUUACUUUAGUCUUCCUUUGCAAUUUUAUUAAUUAGUUUUUGUUCCCAAUCCAUCAAUCAUUUGGAAACCCAACAACCAAGCGGCUGGGUUUAUUCCUCUGUUUUUUGUCCUUGGUAGUCCAAUAGACUGUUUUUUAUAUUAGUUUUUAUUUUAAUUUUAAUUUUUAAUUUAUCUUGGUUUAUAUGUCUAAAUUAGUAUUAAAAUAACAACUAGUCAAUAAGUGGCCUGGUGGAGAGGGUUGGUUUCUAUGGUCUUUAGUGUUGUGGGUUCGAUACCCAUAUUGAACAUUUUAUUUUCUUUUAGAAUUUUAUUUUCUGUUUAUAUUUUUAUUAUACUUAUGGUAGAUUUGUUUU
rnacentral:lncRNA from 1 species